rfam:Oryza meridionalis cultivar OR44 (W2112) chromosome 7, whole genome shotgun sequence.
UUUAAGUGCAACCAUGAGUUUUCGCGUCCAACUUUAAUCGUCCGUCUUAUUUGAAAUUUUUUAUAAUUAAUAUUUUUGUUGUUAUGAGAUGAUAAAACAUAAAUAGUGCUAUACUCGUGACUUAUGUUUUUAAAAUUUUUCAAAAAAAUUUCAAAUAAAACAGACAAUCAAAAUUGGGUAUGGAAAAACAUGGCUGCACUUAAA